AAAGAAUGUGCUCCAUAAUGUAAGUGAAAAUGCAGCACAAGAAUAAGUUGCCAACAUGAUAACUGAGCACUCACCCUCACUAACUCCAAAUAAUUGAGUAAUUGUACCUGUAACAUUAAUAAAGUAAGUACAUUUUCAACCAAAAAAAGUUCAAAUUUUUAUUAAUAACAACUUAAUUAAGCUUAUUCAUAAACAACUUACUUAGGGCUACUGCAGGUGGAAGAGCAAAUUGAAGGAGUAAAAGAAACUGAUAGAGUGGAUCAGGAUGGAUCAAUCCAAAAUGAAUAGCACCUUUAACAAUACCUAUACCUAUUACUGGCA
rnacentral:lncRNA from 1 species